UCGUGUAACCGAGGUGCAAGGGCUGUCGCUGACCUUUCAAAGGUCGUGCACGCCCAAGCACACUCUCGCACAUCCAUCUCACCCCUUUUGUGCAUCACCGCGUAGGCCCCCCUUUGCAAGGAGGGUUUGCGUUUUCACAUAAAAACUUGAUACAGUAUAUAGAAUGUUUCUUUUUUAUUUUGCGGUCACACGCAAUCAAUA
rnacentral:misc_RNA from 1 species